GGAGGGCCCGCGGCCCAUUAGCUAGUUGGUGGGGUCAAGGCCUACCAAGGCAACGAUGGGUAGCUGGUCUGAGAGGACGAUCAGCCACACUGGGACUGAGACACGGCCCAGACUCCUACGGGAGGCAGCAGUGGGGAAUCUUGCGCAAUGCGCGAAAGCGUGACGCAGCAACACCGCGUGAGGGAAGACGGCCUUAGGGUUGUAAACCUCUUUCAGAUGGGACGAAGGUGAUGCGGUGAAUAGCCGAUGUCAUUGACGGUACCGUCAGAAGAAGCUCCGGCUAACUACGUG
rnacentral:rRNA from 1 species